rnacentral:tRNA from 1 species
GGGUAGGUACCAAAGUGGUCAAACGGGGCAGACUGUAAAUCUGCUGGCUUUACGCCUUCGAAGGUUCGAAACCUUCCCUGCCCACCA